GAUGAACGCUGGCGGCGUGCUUAACACAUGCAAGUCGAACGGAAAGGCCCAAGCUUGCUUGGGUACUCGAGUGGCGAACGGGUGAGUAACACGUGGGUGAUCUGCCCUGCACUUCGGGAUAAGUCUGGGAAACUGGGUCUAAUACCGGAUAGGACGAUGUUCUGGAUGCCAUUGUUGAAAGAUUUUUCGCUGUGGGAUGAGCUCGCGGCCUAUCAGCGUGUUUGGGGGGUAAUGUCGUACCCAGGCGUCGAGGCGGAGCCGGCCUGUGAGGGUGUACGGCGACAUUGGGACUGAGAUACGGCGCACAGUCCUACAGGGGGCAGAAGAGGGGAAUAUUGCACAAUGGGGGCAAGCCUGAUGCAGCGACGCCGCGUGGGGGAUGACGGCCUUCUGGGUGUAAAAUCCGUUCGCUAGGGACGAAGCGUUUUUGUGACGGUACCUGGAGAAGAAGCACCGGCUAACUACGUG
rnacentral:rRNA from 1 species